rfam:Ictidomys tridecemlineatus contig081118, whole genome shotgun sequence.
GGGCUUGUGGCUCAGCCGUAGAGUGCUCACCUAGUGUGUGAGAGGCCCUGGGUUCAAUCCUCAGCACCA